GCACCGCUGAGGAGUCCCACAAUAAGACGAAACAGCUGUCCGGUCC
rnacentral:hammerhead_ribozyme from 1 species